rnacentral:rRNA from 1 species
GACGAACGCUGGCGGCGUGCUUAACACAUGCAAGUCGAACGAAGAGCGAUGGAAGCUUGCUUCUAUCAAUCUUAGUGGCGAACGGGUGAGUAACGCGUAAUCAACCUGCCCUUCAGAGGGGGACAACAGUUGGAAACGACUGCUAAUACCGCAUACGAUCUAAUCUCGGCAUCGAGGAUAGAUGAAAGGUGGCCUCUACAUGUAAGCUAUCACUGAAGGAGGGGAUUGCGUCUGAUUAGCUAGUUGGCGGGGUAACGGCCCACCAAGGCGAUGAUCAGUAGCCGGUCUGAGAGGAUGAACGGCCACAUUGGGACUGAGACACGGCCCAGACUCCUACGGGAGGCAGCAGUGGGGAAUCUUCCGCAAUGGACGAAAGUCUGACGGAGCAACGCCGCGUGAGUGAUGACGGCCUUCGGGUUGUAAAGCUCUGUUAAUCGGGACGAAAGGCCUUCUUGCGAAUAGUGAGAAGGAUUGACGGUACCGGAAUAGAAAGCCACGGCUAACUACGUG